CCUACGGGAGGCAGCAGUGAGGAAUAUUGGUCAAUGGACGAGAGUCUGAACCAGCCAAGUAGCGUGAAGGAUGACUGCCCUAUGGGUUGUAAACUUCUUUUAUAUGGGAAUAAAAUGUUCCACGUGUGGGAUUUUGUAUGUACCAUAUGAAUAAGGAUCGGCUAACUCCGUGCCAGCAGCCGCGGUAAUACGGAGGAUCCGAGCGUUAUCCGGAUUUAUUGGGUUUAAAGGGAGCGUAGGUGGAUUGUUAAGUCAGUUGUGAAAGUUUGCGGCUCAACCGUGAAAUUGCAGUUGAAACUGGCAGUCUUGAGUACAGUAGAGGUGAGCGGAAUUCGUGGUGUAGCGGUGAAAUGCUUAGAUAUCACGAAGAACUCCGAGUGCGAAGGCAGUUCACUGGACUGCAACUGACACUGAGGCUCGAAAGUGUGGGUAUCAAACAGGAUUAGAUACCCUUGUAGUC
rnacentral:rRNA from 1 species